rnacentral:rRNA from 1 species
AUGAACGCUAGCUACAGGCUUAACACAUGCAAGUCGAGGGGCAGCAUGAACUUAGCUUGCUAAGUUUGAUGGCGACCGGCGCACGGGUGAGUAACACGUAUCCAACCUGCCGAUGACUCGGGGAUAGCCUUUCGAAAGAAAGAUUAAUACCCGAUGGCAUAGUUCUUCCGCAUGGUAGAACUAUUAAAGAAUUUCGGUCAUCGAUGGGGAUGCGUUCCAUUAGGUUGUUGGCGGGGUAACGGCCCACCAAGCCUUCGAUGGAUAGGGGUUCUGAGAGGAAGGUCCCCCACAUUGGAACUGAGACACGGUCCAAACUCCUACGGGAGGCAGCAGUGAGGAAUAUUGGUCAAUGGACGAGAGUCUGAACCAGCCAAGUAGCGUGAAGGAUGACUGCCCUAUGGGUUGUAAACUUCUUUUAUACGGGAAUAAAGUGAGGCACGUGUGCCUUUUUGUAUGUACCGUAUGAAUAAGGAUCGGCUAACUCCGUGCCAGCAGCCGCGGUAAUACGGAGGAUCCGAGCGUUAUCCGGAUUUAUUGGGUUUAAAGGGAGCGUAGGCGGACGCUUAAGUCAGUUGUGAAAGUUUGCGGCUCAACCGUAAAAUUGCAGUUGAUACUGGGUGUCUUGAGUACAGUAGAGGCAGGCGGAAUUCGUGGUGUAGCGGUGAAAUGCUUAGAUAUCACGAAGAACUCCGAUUGCGAAGGCAGCUUGCUGGACUGUAACUGACGCUGAUGCUCGAAAGUGUGGGUAUCAAACAGGAUUAGAUACCCUGGUAGUCCACACAGUAAACGAUGAAUACUCGCUGUUUGCGAUAUACAGUAAGCGGCCAAGCGAAAGCGUUAAGUAUUCCACCUGGGGAGUACGCCGGCAACGGUGAAACUCAAAGGAAUUGACGGGGGCCCGCACAAGCAGUGGAGUAUGUGGUUUAAUUCGAAGCAACGCGAAGAACCUUACCAGGGCUUGACAUAUAAAGUGAUAUUUAAGAGAUUAAAUAGCUCUUCGGAGACUUUAUACAGGUGGUGCAUGGUUGUCGUCAGCUCGUGUCGUGAGAUGUUGGGUUAAGUCCCGCAACGAGCGCAACCCCUGUACUUAGUUGCCAGCAUGUAGAGAUGGGAACUCUAAGUAGACUGCCGCGAAUAACGCGGAGGAAGGUGGGGAUGACGUCAAAUCAGCACGGCCCUUACGUCCGGGGCUACACACGUGUUACAAUGGGGGGUACAGAAGGCAGCUACACGGCGACGUGAUGCUAAUCCCGAAAGCCUCUCUCAGUUCGGAUUGGAGUCUGCAACCCGACUCCAUGAAGCUGGAUUCGCUAGUAAUCGCGCAUCAGCCACGGCGCGGUGAAUACGUUCCCGGGCCUUGUACACACCGCCCGUCACACCAUGAGAGCCGGGGGGACCCGAAGUCGGUAGUCUAACCGCAAGGAGGACGCCGCCGAAGGUAAAACUGGUGAUUGGGGUG